ACUGGUUCACUGGUUUACUGGUUCAACCGGUCCAACCGUAGUUCAACCGAAAAAACUGUUUUAGAAUAAAAUAAUAAAUAAAUUAUAGAGCAGCUCUCAUCAACACAAUAAAAAACAAUCAAUAAAUCAUCAACACAAUAAAAUUUAUAGAACAUGUUUAUUACUAUAAUAUAAAAUUACAGAACAUGUUUGUUUAAUAGUUAAUACAUUGAUAGUAUUAAAUAUUUUCCAAGCAUCCAAUCAAAUGUGUUUUCAGAUGAUGGUGAAAAUUCAUACAUUAAGUCGUGUAAACCAUCUUUAGAAAGAUAGCAUAGGGAAAUUAAAUCUUAUAAGAUUAAUAUCAAACAAAAAAAUGCAGUACAUAUAAUCACUGAUGAUCAGCAUGACUUUGAAACAUGUCAUGCAUUCACCUUUUUUCUUCAUAGAUAUAAGUAACAAUUACAAAGGAUAGAAAACAAAUAAACUAAAAAACAAAUAAACUAACCAAGUCAGAAACAUUGGCCCUAAAAUUUGAAGCAAAGGCCUCGGGAAUACAUUGACAUUGAGGAAGAAUUACAAUAUACAUAAUUCCUGCCAUAAGCUUCCACAAGGGGAAAGUAUUUGUAUAAAUUCAAAAACAGCAGCUCUUAUCAACACAAUAAAAAAUAUCAGCAGCACAACAAAACCAAAAUCAAAUAAAUCAUCAACAAAAAUUCAAAAACAACAAAAAUAAUCAACAAAAACCCUGAAAUCAAUAAAUCAUCAACAAAAAUUCAAAAAGAGCAGAGCCAGAAAUUCAAAAACAUCAGGAUAGCAUAGCCAUUUUUUAUCAAUAAUUUCAACAAAAACAAAACCCCUGUAAUCUUAUCCAUGAUUUCACUUUCAGAAAUAAGAACAGAGAAUAAAAAGAAAAACGUAUUGUUCUGAGCACUGCCACUAACCUUCGACAGGGGUUGAGCGCGACGGAGAGCAGGACGACGACGAGCAGCAUGAAGGCGGCGAGACGACGGCGAGAUUGGUUAAACAGUUAACUAGUGUCAAGAAGUUCAAGAUUGGUUAAACAAAGUUACUUAGUUAUUAGGUAGAUAUUUUUGGUUAGCUUACUAAGAAGUUCAAGAUUGGUUAAACAAACUUCUCUUUUUCAGUUUUUAAGCUCUGUUCGUAUUUUCUUCUUCUAUCAAUCACAGUCUAAACACAAUUUUUUCUACAUCAGCCUGAAAUGUAUUAAGAAAUUAUGAUUUAUGACACAAACAAUAUGUCUAAUUACCUUAACUUAAUCUUCCUUUUCCCAUGGAAUAAAGAAUUCAUGAAAAAUUAAUCAGACUGUUAUGAAUCAACACAACAACAAUAGCAACAGCAAAAUAUAUAUUUAAAAGAAUUCAUCAAGACAAUCACAAUCUAAGCCCAAUUAAAUUACAACAUAGGAAAACACAACACAGCAAAACCAGCAGCACAUCACUAAUCAUAAUCAAUCAUCAAAAGACAUUCAAUAAUCAAUUAUCACAAGACCUUCAAUAAUCAAUAAUCAGCAAAAUAAUCAUUCAAUAAAAAAUAAAGAACACACAAAACAGCAACACAACAGAACCAGAGUUCAUUCAAUAAAAAAUCACAACACACAAAAACAGCAACACAGCAGAACCAGAGCUCAUCAGUAAUCAAAUAAUCAUUCAAUAAAAAAUUAAAAUACAAAACAUUCAAAUAAUCAGUAAUCAAAUAAUCAUUGAACAGGGCAUAAAUAAAAAAACGCAGAAGAAGUGAGCAGUGAACUAACCUUCGAACUUUGGGGUUCUGGGCAGAGUGCGUUGCUGCGACGGACGACGCCGACCACACGACGGCGAGCAGAUGAAGACGACGGAUGGGCCGAGCUCGCGGAAGGAGAGAGCAGGGGUUGGACACUUCAAGAACAGGACGAAGAGAGAAGGGAUGCGGGCGACGGACGGUGGCAGUGGCUGACGGACCGACGACGGCAGUAGCUCGACGGACGGACGGCGGCAGUGGCUCGAAGAGAGGCUAGGGUUGGAGAAGGGGAGUGAUUCAGAUUUCAGAAUUCUGCUUGAGUAAGAGGGAGUGAGAGUGAGGCAUGACUUCACUCGAAGGUUCACGCAUUGACCAGGGC
rnacentral:lncRNA from 1 species